rnacentral:rRNA from 1 species
GACGAAGGAUGCAAGCGUUAUCCGGAUUCAUUGGGUUUAAAGGGAGCGUAGGCGGUCUUGUAAGUCAGUGGUGAAAUCUCGCAGCUUAACUGCGAAACUGCCAUUGAUACUGCUUGACUAGAGUAUAGAUGCUGUGGGCGGAAUAUGACAUGUAGUGGUGAAAUACAUAGAGAUGUCAUAGAACACCGAUUGCGAAGGCAGCUCACAAAACUAUAACUGACGCUGAGGCUCGAAAGUGUGGGGAGCAAACAGG